GCCCCCGUAGCUCAGUGGCUAGAGCGUCUGCCUUCUAAGCAGCUGGUCGAAGGUUCGAAUCCUUUCGGGGGCG
rnacentral:tRNA from 1 species